GGGCAUAUGCUAAGUGGGCAGCAUGGAGGGCAGGCAGGGUUGGUACCCCAGCAGAGCUCACAGCCAGUGCUAUCACAGAAGCCCAUGGGCACCAUGCCACCGUCCAUGUGCAUGAAGCCGCAGCAACUGGCAAUGCAGCAGCAGCUGGCAAACAGCUUCUUCCCAGAUACAGAAGAGGAAACAGAAGUGGAGGUUAAGUAACUUGUCCAAGAUUACACAGCAGCUAGCAGAGCUAGAUCUGAAGUCUGGUCGGUACUCCUCUUAACUGUUUACUGCCUCAGGAUUCCAGGAGAGGGAGUUUGGUUAGUCCUUAAGAAAGUGGGAGCUCUGGCCAGGUGCUGUGGCUCAUGCCUUUAAUCCCAGCACUUUGGGAGGCUGAGGCGGGUGGAUCACCUGAGGUCAGGAGUUCCAGACCAGCCUGGCCAACAUGGUGAAACCUCGUUUCUACUAAAAAUACAAAAAUUAGCUGGGCUUGGUGGUGGGCGCCUGUAAUCACAGCUACUCAGCAGGCUGAGGCAGGAGAAUCGCUUGAACCCAGGAGGCAGAGGUUGCAGUGAGCCGAAAUUGCACCAUUGCACUCCAGCCUGCGUGACAAGAGCAAGACUCUUGUCUUAA
rnacentral:sRNA from 1 species